AAUACAGGAUAUCAAAAUAAGUUUGAAUUUCAGAUAAAUAAUACUUAUUUAGUGUGUGUAUGUCUCUUGCAAUAUUUGGGACAUACAUAUACUAAAAAUUAUUUGAUGUUAAUCUGAAAUUCACAUUUAACUGGGCCUCUUGUAUUUU
rnacentral:miRNA from 1 species